CCAAAGGCUCUUUUCAGAGCCA
rfam:Pelodiscus sinensis unplaced genomic scaffold C73475831, whole genome shotgun sequence.